rnacentral:rRNA from 1 species
AUUGAACGCUGGCGGCAGGCCUAACACAUGCAAGUCGAGCGGAUGAAGGGAGCUUGCUCCUGGAUUCAGCGGCGGACGGGUGAGUAAUGCCUAGGAAUCUGCCUGGUAGUGGGGGAUAACGUCCGGAAACGGGCGCUAAUACCGCAUACGUCCUGAGGGAGAAAGUGGGGGAUCUUCGGACCUCACGCUAUCAGAUGAGCCUAGGUCGGAUUAGCUAGUUGGUGGGGUAAAGGCCUACCAAGGCGACGAUCCGUAACUGGUCUGAGAGGAUGAUCAGUCACACUGGAACUGAGACACGGUCCAGACUCCUACGGGAGGCAGCAGUGGGGAAUAUUGGACAGUGGGCGAAAGCCUGAUCCAGCCAUGCCGCGUGUGUGAAGAAGGUCUUCGGAUUGUAAAGCACUUUAAGUUGGGAGGAAGGGCAGUAAGUUAAUACCUUGCUGUUUUGACGUUACCAACAGAAUAAGCACCGGCUAACUUCAUG